UUAUAUAAACACUUUUCAAAAUAAGCUGAUUUUAGAAGUUUGACCAAACAAACUAUAAAUUCGAGUUUGUGUCGAGAAGUCCUACAUUAGUGGAGUAAUGCGAUUUUAUACAUAAUGGCCGAAUCUGCAACCUCUAAUUAAGGAAGGAGGAGUACUUAUCGGUACUCGUUUUUUGGGAUGUCAGAUUCUUUGCGCAUUCUUACUUUGAUUAUGUCUUGUGUGCCAAUUCCAUACUUGGCUCUUGAUCAAUUCAAAUUCUUCAAUUAAAGAAAUGUUUUACUUGUGCUUGACUAAAUCUUCGUACUAAUUGUGUCCUUUCAAUUGCCUCUUCUAAUUACGCCAACAUCCAACGUAAUCCUUGAACAAAUCAAAGGGAAUUAAGUUGACAAUAUGAGUUUCCUAUGCUAUAAAUAUCACCAUUUAAUCUGUUUGUUUCUUCAUCAAGAAUCCACGAAAAAAUAUAUAGCAGCUAUGGCCAAGUACACAACUUUUCUUGCUAUCCUCUUUUGCCUCAUGUUUGUUGCCGCAACUGCCAUACAAAUACAAACAGAAGAUGGAAAAUAUUGCUGGAAGAAAAGUCACAAGUGGAAUGGGCCUUGCCACUACUCUUACAAAUGUAGCCAUCACUGUAAGCAUGGAUAUGGAGCUAAAUAUGGAAUUUGUAAGAAGUACAAAUGGGGUAAUCACAAA